GAAAAAGUGGGAACAAGGUUUCCGUAGGGGGACCUGCGGAAGGACUAUCAAUGAUUUGUUUAAUUGCACCAAAAUGGGUUUUUAUUGAACAAAUUUUUUUGGUGGCGGGAGCAAUCCCACCGCCAGAGGUUAUANCUAAACCAAACUUUUUAUUNACCAUCAAACUUGAUUUAUUAUGACAAUGGUCCAAACGAUAGACCACGGAUAUCUUGGUUCUUGGGUCGAAGAAGAACGCCGAGAAAUGCGAUACGUAAUAAGAUUUGCAGAUUUUCGUGAAUCAUCGAAUUUUUGGAGGCACAUUGCGCCCUUUGGGAUUUCAAAGGGCAAGCCNGGUUGAGGGUCAUUUCUGCCUCAAACCCCCGGGUUUGGCGGUCACCAAUAAGCUAGGUUUGUUUGAAAGAAUUUAACGUGGAAACUUAUUUUAAUCUACUUAGGUUUUCCAAAAACGCUAUUUUGCUAGGGCCACCACAAUUUAUUUCAAACUUGACCCAAAUCAGGUAGGAUACC
rnacentral:rRNA from 1 species